GCCCGGGGCGGGGUGCUAUACAUGCAAGUCGAGCGAAGAGAUGGGAGCUUGCUCCCAUGAUCUUAGCGGCGGACGGGUGAGUAACACGUGGGCAACCUGCCCUGCAGACUGGGAUAACUCCGGGAAACCGGAGCUAAUACCGGGUAAUACAUCGCACCGCAUGGUGCAAUGUUGAAAGUUGGCUUUCUGAGCUAACACUGCAGGAUGGGCCCGCGGCGCAUUAGCUAGUUGGUAAGGUAAUGGCUUACCAAGGCAACGAUGCGUAGCCGACCUGAGAGGGUGAUCGGCCACACUGGGACUGAGACACGGCCCAGACUCCUACGGGAGGCAGCAGUAGGGAAUCUUCCGCAAUGGACGAAAGUCUGACGGAGCAACGCCGCGUGAGUGACGAAGGCCUUCGGGUCGUAAAGCUCUGUUGUUAGGGAAGAACAAGUACCGUUCGAAUAGGGCGGUACCUUGACGGUACCUAACCAGAAAGCCACGGCUAACUACGUGCCAGCAGCCGCGGUAAU
rnacentral:rRNA from 1 species